GUAGGGCSYWAGCGUUGUCCGGAAUCAUUGGGCGUAAAGAGCUCGUAGGUGGUCUGUUACGUCUGCUGUGAAAACCUAGGGCUUAACCCUGGGCCUGCAGUGGAUACGGGCAGACUAGAGGUAGGUAGGGGAGAAUGGAAUUCCCGGUGUAGCGGUGAAAUGCGCAGAUAUCGGGAGGAACACCGGUGGCGAAGGCGGUUCUCUGGGCCUUACCUGACACUGAGGAGCGAAAGCGUGGGGAGCAAACAGGAUUAGAUACCCUGGUAGUCCACGCCGUAAACGUUGGGCGCUAGGUGUGGGAUCCUUCCACGGAUUCCGUGCCGCAGCUAACGCAUUAAGCGCCCCGCCUGGGGAGUACGGCCGCAAGGCUA
rnacentral:rRNA from 1 species